rnacentral:rRNA from 1 species
AUUGAACGCUGGCGGCAUGCCUUACACAUGCAAGUCGAACGGUAACAGGUCUUCGGAUGCUGACGAGUGGCGCACGGGUGCGUAAUACAUCGGAACGUGCCCAGACGUGGGGGAUAACGAGGCGAAAGCUUUGCUAAUACCGCAUACGAUCUAAGGAUGAAAGCAGGGGACCGCAAGGCCUUGCGCGUUUGGAGCGGCCGAUGGCAGAUUAGGUAGUUGGUGGGAUAAAAGCUUACCAAGCCGACGAUCUGUAGCUGGUCUGAGAGGACGACCAGCCACACUGGGACUGAGACACGGCCCAGACUCCUACGGGAGGCAGCAGUGGGGAAUUUUGGACAAAGGGCGAAAGCCUGAUCCAGCAAUGCCGCGUGCAGGAUGAAGGCCUUCGGGUUGUAAACUGCUUUUGUACGGAACGAAAAGGCUCUGGCUAAUACCUGGGGAACAUGACGGUACCGUAAGAAUAAGCACCGGCUAACUACGUG